ACUACCUAAUUGAUGUAAACAUAAGAAAUGGUUUUUACUAUAUAAAGUUAUUAAAUCAGUUUAUAUUUGUAAGAUGCAAAGGUGGAAAAAAAAUGGCUCAAACUCUUAAACUUGCUUAUAUUGUGAUCCUUUUUGUUUCCCUUUUUAACGUUGCAGUCUUUGGUUAUCAUUAUAAAUGUGAUACUAUUAAAGAUUGCUAUAAAAUAUUACCAAAAUCUUUUCCAGAAACACUGUGGUGCUUGGAUGGAUUUUGUACCGUCGUGAUUGUUGUUCCGAUUUAAAGUAUAUGUCACUCUUAUAAUUUCUCUUAUACUUUAAUAUCUUUCUCCGAUCUUGUAAAAGCAUGUUAAACAUUCUUUUAAAUGGAAUAUAUAUAUAUAUAUAUAUAUUAAUAAAUGAUUACAAGACGUAAUCCAAUAAAGAAGCAUAUAUUUAAUAUA